rnacentral:tRNA from 3 species
GAGACAUUAGUAAAAUAUAUUACAUUACCUUGUCAAGGUAAUAUCGUGGGUUAAAUCCCCACAUGUCUUA